rnacentral:rRNA from 1 species
GGAUGCGAUCAUACUAGCACUAGCGCACCAGAUCCCAUCAUUACUCCGAAGUAAAGCGUGCUUGGGCGAGAGUAGUACUAGGAUGGGUGACUGUUACAUCUCGCGUUUUCGUACAUU